UCCUUGAUGGCACGACGUGCCAGAGAUCCAUUGAUCUGAGGAAAAUGUAAACAACUCAAUCAGCAAAUAGUCAUCACAGAAAAGAAAAAUACCAUGCAAAUGUGAUUCAUCGUCAAUGACUACAAAUAUAGCACAUAUAUCAUCAAACUAGAAAAUAGGUCAAAAUGUGGCAUCAAAACCAGAAGAAACACAAGCACUGUAAUUUAUAUUUAUGUGUAUACAUCGCACUGUGUACACAUCACACCUACACUCCUAUUUUGCAUUUCGCAAAUAUUGAUCCCAGUUCUAUUUUCUUGAAUUUAAAAUUAGUUGAAAUUUAUGAAAAGUUCAAUGACCAUUUGUGAUAUUAAACCUAUCGUUUCCUCAACAAUUAACAUUCUCAAUAUAACAAAAUCAAAUUAGUUAAUAAAAAUGAUGAACAACAAACAAUUAAGAAUUGAUCACUUAUGUUCUCUUCAAAUGCACUAUGUAAACAUAAAAUACUUAAUCAACCCAACUCAAGACAGUUAAAUGAAAACAAAUAUAAUAUUCAUAGGCAUAAAAAAAAUAAAAAAAAGAGGACAAAUCAUUCACAUUCCAAGACAAAAGGGCAUCACAACUAUAACAAUGAGCAUGUUACCCACAAAAGGAGGCAUAUAUGGAAGAAUUAACUUCAUCAUUAUUACGGGAGGCAGAUACAGAUACAGAUCAAUCAAAGAAUAGCUGAGCUAGGAUUAAUUUUUAUUUUUAGCUAACUAAUUUCUGUAAUUAGCUAAUUAA
rnacentral:misc_RNA from 1 species